rnacentral:rRNA from 1 species
GCAGUCGCAGCUAUACUGCAGUCGAGCGAAUGGAUUAGAGUUUGUUCUUAUGAUUAUAGCGGGCACGGGAGAAUAACACGUGGAAACCCUGCCCAUAACAGUGGUAUAUCUCCGAAAACCCGGCUAUAAUACCGGAUAACAUUUUGACCCGUGUGAGACGAAGUUGAAAGGCGUUUUCCUGUGUCUCUUAUGUAUGCACCCGCGGCACAAUAUAUAUGUGGAGAGGAAGCGUCUCCCCAAGGACACGAUGCAUACCCCACCUGAGAGGGAGAUCGCCCACUGUGACAGUGACACGCGCCCCACACUCCUACGAGAGGCAGGAGGAGAAAAUCUUCCGCAGUGCACAAAAGUCUGACGGAGCAACCCCGCGAGAGAGAAGAAGCUUUUCGGCUCAAAAAACUCUGGUGAUAGAAAAAAACAAGUGCUAGUUGAAGAAGGUGCCUUCUUGACGCCUCCUAACCAAAAAGCCACGAAUAACUACGUGCCAGCCGCCGCGAUAAUACGUAGGUGGCAAGUGUUAUCCGGAAUUAUUGGGCGUAAAGCGCGCGCAGGUGCCUUCUUAAGGCUGAUGUGAAAGCCCACGCCUCAACCGAGGAGCAUCAUUGACUGCUGAAAGACUUGAGUGCAGAAGAGGAAAGUGUUAUUCCAUGUGUAGCGAAGAAAUGCGAAAAGAUAUGGAGGAACACCAGUGAAGAAGGCGACUUUCUGUGCUGUGCUGACACUGAGGCGCGAAAGCGUGAGGAGCAAACAGGAUUACAUACCCUGUCACACCACGCCGAAAACGAUUGAGUGCUAAGUGUUAGAGUUCUUCCCUCCCUUGCUGCUGAAAAAACU